rnacentral:lncRNA from 1 species
CGGGGCGGAGUCAGGGUAGAGGCCCCCGCCGAGAAAGGGGAGAAAGAGGCGGGCCCUGAGAAUUGGCUCGAGCGCGAAGGGGUGAGUGAUAGUCAUCUCUGAACUCUGAGACCCUGAGCAGCAGGAAGAUGGUGAAUAAAUGCAAGCCCCAGCUAUACAAUUACAACCUAGCCUGAGAGGAGGAAGAGGCCAGGAGGUGCAACUUCAGGUCCCAGGCGCCUCGCAACCAGCUUGCUCAUCUCAGGGUCCGCGAGACUGGGAUUUACACAAGCAGCACAGGGUCAUGGUGUCAGCCUUAGCAAUGACAGGGAUGAUGUUCACAACCUUGCUGAGGUGUUUCAUGAACUCAAGAUCCAGAGGUCGCAAGCUGGGGCACAGAAAAGGCAGAAUCAUCAGAGCCACCUUGCCCUCCCCAACUCAGCCACCACCACCACUCCAGGACACCCACAGGAGAAGAGGACUGGGCUGGGCAUCUGGCUGAGGCCAAGAGGCUGCUACCUCUCGUCUCCGACACAGCCCCACUGCCUUGCCGUCUGUAGAGCAGCCUCAACACCUGCCUUUUUCUUUUUCAGUCCCCUUGCAGAUUCUGCCUCUCUUUAAGCCCCCCUCAAACCACCACUUCAGGACAUCUUUUCUGACUCAGGGAUUUCUUUCUCCUGGGAGCAUCUGUGGACUACUGUCUCUACUCAUAUGUCCUUGUGCGUGUGUGUCUUUUUUCCUUUUUUGUCUGUCUCAAAAACAAAAAACAAACAACAACAACCAAAAAAAAACAACACUGUGUGUGUCUUUUUUUUUUUUUUUUUUUUUGAGACAGGGUCUCACUUUGUCACCCAGGCUGGAGUGCAGUGAUAUGGUCAUUGGCUCACUGCAGCCUUGACCUCCAGGGCUCAAGCAAUCCUCCCACCUCAGCCUCCAGAGGAGCUGGGACCACAGUUGCGCACUACCAUGUCUGGCUAAUUUUUAAAUUUUGUGUAGAGACAAUGUCUUGCCAUGUUGCCCACGCUGGUCUUGAACUCCUGGACUCAAGCAAUCUUCCUGCCUCGGCUUCCCAAAGUGCUGGGAUUAUAGGCGAGAGCCACCGUGCCUAGUGUGUACAUCUUGUUCUGCCUAUCAGACUACUUCUUGACAGGUCUCCUCCUAGCCCCCAGAGUUAGUCCUGCAGGGCCAAACUGGAGGCCUUGCCCUUCCCACAAUCUGACA